rnacentral:rRNA from 1 species
CGGCCCAAACUCCUACGGGAGGCAGCAGUAGGGGAUCUUCCGCAAUGGACGCAAGUCUGACGGAGCAACGCCGCGUGAGUGAAGAAGGUUUUCGGAUCGUAAAACUCUGUUGUUAGAGAAGAACAAGUGCUAGAGUAACUGUUAGCGCCUUGACGGUAUCUAACCAGAAAGCCACGGCUAACUACGUGCCAGCAGCCGCGGUAAUACGUAGGUGGCAAGCGUUGUCCGGAUUUAUUGGGCGUAAAGCGAGCGCAGGCGGUUCCUUAAGUCUGAUGUGAAAGCCCCCGGCUCAACCGGGGAGGGUCAUUGGAAACUGGGGAACUUGAGUGCAGAAGAGGAGAGUGGAAUUCCAUGUGUAGCGGUGAAAUGCGUAGAUCUAUGGAGGAACACCAGUGGCGAAGGCGACUCUCUGGUCUG